rnacentral:rRNA from 1 species
AGUGAACGCUGGCGGUAGGCCUAACACAUGCAAGUCGAACGGCAGCACAGUAAUAGCUUGCUCUUACGGGUGGCGAGUGGCGGACGGGUGAGGAAUACAUCGGAAUCUACUUUUUCGUGGGGGAUAACGUAGGGAAACUUACGCUAAUACCGCAUACGACCUACGGGUGAAAGCAGGGGAUCUUCGGACCUUGCGCGAUUGAAUGAGCCGAUGUCGGAUUAGCUAGUUGGCGGGGUAAAGGCCCACCAAGGCGACGAUCCGUAGCUGGUCUGAGAGGAUGAUCAGCGACACGGGAACUGAGACACGGUCAAGACUCCUACGGGAGGCAGCAGUGGGGAAUAGUGGACAAUGGGCGGAAGCAUGAUCCAGCCAGACCGCGUGGGUGAAGAAGGCCUUCGGGUUGUAAAGACCUUUUGUUGGGAAAGAAAAGCAGCAGGUUAAUACCACGCUGUUCUGACGGUACCCAAAGAAUAAGCACCGGCUAACUUCGUG